UCUACGGGUGGCAGCAGUGGGGAAUAUUGCACAAUGGGGGGAACCCUGAUGCAGCGACGCCGCGUGAAGGAAGAAGUAUUUCGGUAUGUAAACUUCUAUCAGCAGGGAAGAAAAUGACGGUACCUGACUAAGAAGCCCCGGCCAACUACGUGCCAGCAGCCGCGGUAAUACGAAGGGGGCAAGCGUUAUCCGGAUUGACGGGGUGUAAAGGGAGCGUAGACGGGAGCGCAAGUCUGGAGUGAAAUGCCGGGGCCCAACCCGGGAACUGCCCUGGAAACUGUGAAGUUGGAGUGCAGGAGAGGUAAGCGGAAUUCCUGGUGUAGCGGUGAAAUGCGUAGAUAUCAGGAGGAACACCGGCGGCGAAGGCGGCUUACUGGACUGUAACUGACGUUGAGGCUCGAAGGCGUGGGGAGCAAACAGGAUUAGAUACCCGAGUAGUC
rnacentral:rRNA from 1 species